rnacentral:rRNA from 1 species
UGGCUCAGAACGAACGCUGGCGGCGUGCCUAACACAUGCAAGUCGAGCGAGAAAAGGGGGGCAACUCCCUGAGUAAAGCGGCGCACGGGUGAGUAACACGUGGGUAAUCUGCCCUGGAGUGGGGAAUAACACCGGGAAACCGGUGCUAAUACCGCAUACGAUAGCGGGAUCUGCGGAUUUCGUUAUGAAAGGAGCAAUUCGCUCUAGGAGGAGCCCGCGGCUGAUUAGCUAGUUGGUGAGGUAAUGGCUCACCGGGGAUACGAUCAGUAUCCGGUCUGAGAGGACGGUCGGACACACUGGAACUGAGACA